CCCGUAGUGGCGGACGGGUGAGUAACGCGUGGGUAACCUGCCCCAUACCGGGGGAUAACACUUGGAAACAGGUGCUAAUACCGCAUAACCAUAGUUACCGCAUGGUAACUAUGUAAAAGGUGGCUAUGCUACCGCUUUUGGAUGGGCCCGCGGCGCAUUAGCUAGUUGGUGGGGGUAAAGGCUUACCAAGGCAAUGAUGCGUAGCCGAACUGAGAGGUUGAUCGGCCACAUUGGGACUGAGACACGGCCCAAACUCCUACGGAAGGCAGCAG
rnacentral:rRNA from 1 species